AAAGCUGGAAUAGCUCAGUUGGUAGAGCAGAGGACUGAAAAUCCNCGUGUCACAGUUCA
rnacentral:tRNA from 1 species